GGUUCCAGGUGGACGAGAGACCCCGCAGGGCAGAGCUACACGCACACCUGGGGGCUGCCCUUGUCACUGCCUGGUC